AUGAAGACAUCCUUUCAAGCUUUGUUCAUGUUUCUGUGGCUACAGCUGAACUGGAUGUGCCAAGGAGAGAAUGUAGAGCAGCACCCUUCUACUUUGAGUGUUUUGGAGGGAAGCAGCGCAGUUAUCAACUGUACUUAUUCAGACAGUGCCUCGUCCUACUUUCCUUGGUAUAAGAAAGAACCUGGAAAAGAUCUCCAACUCAUCAUAGCUCUUCGCUCAAAUAUGAACAAAAAUGAAGGCCAAGGACUCAUUGUUUUGUUAAAUAAGACAGCCAAACAUGUCUCUCUUCACAUCCCAGGUGCCCAGCAUGGAGACUCAGCUGUGUAUUUCUGUGCAGCAAAAAUAAUUACAACAAUAAAUAUACAUGAAGAAAAUGAUAAGGUGGUUAUUACAAAAGAUGUUUGGGUUGGGUUAGACUCCCAGCCAGUGAACACAGAAGUUUGA